rnacentral:lncRNA from 1 species
CUGUUUUUGUUUGUAUGAGCUGCACUGAAACUAAUUCCAAUUAAGAGUUACAGUUAUGUCAGUUGGUGUGAAUGAAAUAAAAUGUAAUAUAUUUUCCAUGCUUUAUUUCUGUUAAGAACUUUAUCAUCGAGUGUGAUCAUUUCAGUAACUGCUACUUUGCUUUGGCUCUGAGGAGGUGUUGAAGGUGCGCAAACAUAAGACGUCGCUUGGUUUUCGUAGUAACAGGUACUGCAAGAAGUCGGCCAUCAUGGCGAGGAGGUCCGGGUUCUACUGCAGGAACUUGGAGUGCAUCUACAUGUCCUCCUCCCUCACCAGAUGCCUCUUCUCAAAAACUGGCCUAUCGUCCCUCACCUCUGACACACAACAAACAUACACACGGACAUGUAAAUAGGGGACCAUUCCUAAUAGUGUGUGUGUUUGUGUGUGUAUCUGUGUAUGUGUGUACCUGUUUGUAUUUGGGGCGGGAGAAGCAGGAGCCUCAUGUUGACGGAAGAGCACACCUGCAUUUGGCUGGCCCUAAACAGGAACAGGAUAUGACAUCACACAGGGAGAAAGAGAUGGCAGGAGCAGUGGUGCCCUAUAUGUCCUGGGUGUCUCUGGUGUAGGCCAGGUUACUGUAAAAGCACUAUUUAACAAGGCAAGUCAGUUAAGAACAAAUUCUUAUUUACAAUGACAACCUACACUGGCCAAACCUGGACGACGCUGGGACAAUUGUGUGCCGCCCUAUGGGACUCCCAAUCACGGCCGGUUGUGAUACAAACUGGAUGUAACUGCUGAUGUAAAAU